AUCAUUAUUUGUAUUAAUUUUAUAAGUACCUAUUAUUCCACAAUUAUCUUUCUAACACCCAGUAAGUUUAACUGGUUAUAUUAAAAAUAAUUAAAGUGCUAACAGAUGCCAGGUAUCAAUUUCCUUGGAUUCUGAAAAAAGCCUAUAGGUGUUUGAGGACUGAUCACUGUCUGGACUAAUCACUGGAGUUAUUUAAGUCAGUGGCUUGCAAGUGUUUGCAAGCAAGCUCUCCUCUAUCUAUUUGCAACGAUGCCCUUCUCUGCCCCAUGUGCCCUUUCUCUGUGUCCUUGAGGUCUCUUCUAAAUCUUAGGGUUCUGGGAAACAUGAUGUGCAGAGCCCAAAUUUAGUCAUUUUAUUACAGAGAGAUUCUUAGCUAUCAGCUGGUAGAUCCCAGCCACUCAGAAAGACACUUUCUGCAGGGCUUGCUACUGGAGACUUAAUAUGUGAAUAGAUCCCCAGAGCCCUCAUUUUUGCUUCUAUAAAAUGGGGAUGUUACCUAUACAGCAGGGAUAUUAUGAGAAUCAAGUUAGAUGCUGUAAUAUAAAAUCAGAGCUUGGUUCCUGAUACUGAAUACAUGGUGGUGUUGGUUUGUGCUCCUUGUUGUUCUAUCCUCAAAUCAAAGAUGCAAGGGGUCUAAGGGCACGUGACUGAUUUAACAAAAAGUAAAUGCUCUAUUUUAUUAACAAAUAUUAGUAUAUGUAUUUCUUGAAAAUGACACAUAACAGUAGUGUAAUUUAAGUUUCAGCAUAAGAUUUUUUUCACAUUAAAAUGAAAUAAAUGUUGGGACUCACUCUUGGCCAUGUGCAGCCAUGCUUAGUAUCACAAUGAUACGGGACUUUCCUAACCCAUGCUCGUGUCUUUGACCUCUGCAUCCUCAGGCUUGGUAGGAACUGGAGGAAAACCAAGUGAAACCAAGAUUUCAUCUGCAUUUGUGACUUGCCUAAACUCAUAGUUUGAUAUUUCACUGGAUGUAAAACAUCUCUGGAGUGUAGUUAGGAAGCUCUUCAUUGAGAGACUGUCGUCACCUGGCUGAGACUGCUGUCCAAACCAGAGACCAGAACACUCUGACACCAAAUAUAUAUGAAGUUUUUUUCUCCCCCACCACACCAGCUACUUCUCUGACACCAGAGACAUUGACAAGGUGGGCUAUAUUCAGCACAGCAACACUCAGUGAUCCAGCUUCUCAAACCUCAGUUGACAAUCUUUGCAGGAUUCUCCUUUCAAGACAAUAGAGACUUCUCAAGGAAACCUCAUGCAUUUAAGUCUCCAAUCAAUGGAGAAAUCUAGAAAGCUCUAGAAAGGAACAAUGGAAAAGUCCUCAGCAGCAACCUUGUUCACCAGAUAUUAGGACAAGGGAGAUCUCUUCCUCUACCACCUCAAAUAGAAAUCUAAAGGAGAUCUAUUACAUCCAUCACUGAUAAUCUUAUUUCAAGACCAUGUCAUGGCUGUAAGGCCCUGAAAGGGAUGUUUUCACUCUGCAGCAGGCUGGAACUCUCGCCUUAGGUAUAAUGAUAACUGUGGAAAGUUAAAACCACCAGUCCAUUCAGGUUCCAAUCAUAAACAAAACGUCUGUGUGGUAGAUACAAUUUCUGACUAUAACUGUUUCUACAUUUGCCACGGCAGUGCAAGUUUCCAGAAUGAUUGUGGUUGGAAUU
ensembl:lncRNA